rnacentral:pre_miRNA from 1 species
GUGGCUGGCGGCUGGGUGCCUUCUACUGAUGCUGUGCAGAGGCUUUCCCCAAGGCUGCUGUGAGCCUGUAGGGUUUCCCCCUAGACUACUAAGCUGG